rnacentral:rRNA from 1 species
GGCUCAGAUUGAACGCUGGCGGCAUGCCUUACACAUGCAAGUCGAACGGCAGCACGGGAGCAAUCCUGGUGGCGAGUGGCGAACGGGUGAGUAAUAUAUCGGAACGUGCCCAGUCGUGGGGGAUAACGUAGCGAAAGCUACGCUAAUACCGCAUACGAUCUAUGGAUGAAAGCGGGGGAUCGCAAGACCUCGCGCGAUUGGAGCGGCCGAUAUCAGAUUAGGUAGUUGGUGGGGUAAAAGCCUACCAAGCCUUCGAUCUGUAGCUGGUCUGAGAGGACGACCAGCCACACUGGAACUGAGACACGGUCCAGACUCCUACGGGAGGCAGCAGUGGGGAAUUUUGGACAAUGGGCGCAAGCCUGAUCCAGCAAUGCCGCGUGCAGGAUGAAGGCCUUCGGGUUGUAAACUGCUUUUGUACGGAACGAAACGGUUCUCUCUAAUACAGGGGGCUAAUGACGGUACCGUAAGAAUAAGCACCGGCUAACUACGUG